rnacentral:rRNA from 1 species
AAGGACGAACGCUGGCGGCAUGCCUAACACAUGCAAGUCGAACGGGGGUAGCAAUACCCUAGUGGCGAACGGGUGAGUAACACAUAAGCAAUCUGCCCUUCACAGGGGGAUAACAGCGGGAAACUGCUGCUAAUACCGCAUAAGACCACGGUACCGCAUGGUACAGGGGUAAAAACGAAUCAGUGGUGAAGGAUGAGCUUAUGUCCCAUUAGCUAGUUGGUGAGAUAACAGCCCACCCAAGGCGACGAUGGGUAGCCGACCUGAGAGGGUGAUCGGCCACACUGGAACUGAGACACGGUCCAGACUCCUACGGGAGGCAGCAGUGGGGAAUAUUGGGCAAUGGAGGAAACUCCUUACCCAGCAAUGCCGCGUGAGUGAAGAAGGUCUUCGGAUUGUAAAGCUCUUUGAUUGGGGGCGAAGAAAGUGACGGUACCCAAAGAACAAGCCCCGGCUAACUACGUGCCAGCAGCAGC